AUUGAACGCUGGCGGCAGGCCUAACACAUGCAAGUCGAACGAGUGGCGGACGGGUGAGUAAUGUCUGGGAAACUGCCUGAUGGAGGGGGAUAACUACUGGAAACGGUAGCUAAUACCGCAUACCAUCAGAUGUGCCCAGAUGGGAUUAGCUAGUUGGUGGGGUAACGGCUCACCAAGGCGACGAUCCCUAGCUGGUCUGAGAGGAUGACCAGCAAGACGGGAACUGAGCACCGGCCAAGAUCCUUACGGGAGGCAGCAGUGGGGAAUAUUGGACAAUGGGCGCAGGCCUGAUGCAGCCAGGCCGCGUGUAUGAAGAAGGCCUUCGGGUUGUAAAGUACUUUCAGCGGGGAGGCGGUACCCGCAGAAGAAGCAACGGCUAACUCCGUGCCAGCAGCCGCGGUAAUUC
rnacentral:rRNA from 1 species